AUCGCAGCCAUUGCCGUAAUGCGAAAUCUCACGCCGAUCUGAUCUACACCACACACCCCUUCUCACUCACUCUCUCAGUUCAUUUCCACUGCAAGUCCCUCACUGUCAAUCCACCGUCUCCCGAUACUCUCUCCGAGUUUCCUCCGCCUUCAAUGCCCAAUCCCUUCUCCACAAUUCAAAUCUCUCUCUACUUCUUCAUCCUCCAUUCUCUUUUUAAAACCUUCCCUUGCCUAGGUUUUCUCUCCUAUGGCAUUUUUUUAAUUUUCCCUCCUCAAUGGCGGCCACUUCUCAUCUCCAUUUCAAGAUCACUCGUCUCCCCAUUUCUCCGCUGCAUUCCUCUUUUUAUGGAUUGCAACUCAGCAGGAAGAAGGGGAGGGCCGCCAUCGGUGUCAGUUCAAUCAUUUGCUGCUGCUCCGAUUCUGUGGUUUCCAUUCGGAGUGUCGACAAAAAUGAAGGCAGGUCCUCUCAUAGGCUCCGUGUUCAAGCCACUCCCACAUUGCCUUUUGCUUCUUCUCAGUCUCGUUUUGCUUCAAAACAAGAAAAGUUUUCUCCUCGUUGCAGCCCAAGAAACUCUGGUCCACAAUCCCGAGACACUCCACCAAAAAGAGACACUGGUAUCGCAAAUGAAAAGGAGUGGGACAUCAACUUGUUGAAUGAAAAUGUUAAUGAAUCUGGCACUAAUGAUGAUGGUAGUACUUGGUACCGAGAAAGUGGAGAAGACCUGGGUGAAGAUGGGUACAGAUGUAGAUGGACAAUAAUGGGCGGACGAUCACAUGAUGAUACUUCAGAAUGGAAAGAAACGUGGUGGGAGAAAAGUGACUGGACUGGAUACAAAGAGCUAGGUGUGGAGAAAUCUGGAAGGAAUGCUGAAGGGGAUUCAUGGUGGGAGACAUGGCAAGAGGUGCUCCAUCAAGAUGAAUGGAGCAAUCUAGCAAGGAUAGAGAGAAGUGCACAAAAACAAGCGAAGUCAGGGACUGAAAAUGCUGGAUGGUAUGAGAAAUGGUGGGAGAAAUAUGAUGCUAAAGGCUGGACCGAAAAGGGGGCUCAUAAGUAUGGUAGACUGAAUGAGCAGUCAUGGUGGGAGAAGUGGGGAGAGCAUUACAAUGGGAGAGGAUCUGUUCUCAAAUGGACAGAUAAAUGGGCUGAGACUGAAUUGGGAACCAAAUGGGGUGACAAGUGGGAAGAGAGGUUCUUUGCUGGUAUAGGUUCUCGCCAGGGUGAGACAUGGCAUGUUUCUCCAGUUGGUGAACAUUUUUCUUGAUAGUUGCGAGGGUCACUGAUGGGAUACUGAACUUGCAUGGUUAACUGUCAACAAUAUCCCCAUACAUCAGCUUCAGUAGUUGCUUUCUUAACUUCGUUAGUGUGACUGUCAUGUACAAGAUGUAGUUUGGCGUUUAACUUAUUCUUUGAAGUACAUGACUCAAGGUUGGACAAGGACAUGGGGAGAAGAACAUUUUGGAAAUGGUAAAGUCCACAAAUAUGGAAAGAGCACAACAGGUGAAAGCUGGGAUAUUGUUGUGGACGAGGAAACCUAUUAUGAGGCUGAACCUCACUAUGGAUGGGCUGACGUUGUAGGUGAUUCAACCCAGUUGCUAUCUAUUAAACCUCGGGAGAAACCACCAGGAGUCUACACAAGUCUUGAUUUUGGUUCAUCUUCAGCCGAUGAUGACUCCUCAGACUUGCCUCCUCUUCCGCAAUGAAGGCCUGAUUUUCAGGUUCUAUUUUGCUUUAGGUGAUUCCAUAUCUGAUGAAAGUCCAAUUUCAUUUUAAUUUUUUAGGUUGUCUUAUAACUGAAUUUUGCGAUUGCUUUCCAUUUGUUCAUUCUUUGGAUGGGGUUGUGAUAAAUAUUGGACAUUACCUCAUCUUUUUAUUAAGUUUCUGGCUGCUAUUGGAGUUUGUGGUAUGACUAGUUCCUCGUUGAAUUUUAAA